rnacentral:tRNA from 1 species
GUAUUUGUAGUUUAAAUAAAACAUUAAGUUUUCGUCUUAAAGAUGUGGUUUUCACUAAAUAAU